rnacentral:rRNA from 1 species
GAUGAACGCUGGCGGCGCGCCUAACACAUGCAAGUCGAACGGUUAAAGCACCUUUUAGGUGUGUAUAAAGUGGCGAACGGCUGAGUAACACGUGGGCAACCUGCCCUCCUCUUGGGGAUAGCCUCGGGAAACCGAGGAUAAUACCCGAUACUUCAAUGUGGCCGCAUGACGACAUUGAGAAAGCUUUUGCGGAGAAGGAUGGGCCCGCGGCCUGUUAGCUUGUUGGUGGGGUAGAGGCCUACCAAGGCAAUGAUGGGUAGCUGGGUUGAGAGACCGACCAGCCAGAUUGGGACUGAGACACGGCCCAGACUCCUACGGGAGGCAGCAGGGGGGAAUCUUGCACAAUGGGCGAAAGCCUGAUGCAGCGACGCCGCGUGCGGGACGAAGGCCUUCGGGUUGUAAACCGCUUUCAGCAGGGACGAGGCGAUAAGUGACGGUACCUGCAGAAGAAGCCCCGGCUAACUACGUG